UACGUAGGGUCCGAGCGUUGUCCGGAAUUACUGGGCGUAAAGAGCUCGUAGGUGGUUUGUCACGUUGUUCGUGAAAACCCACAGCUCAACUGUGGGCGUGCGAGCGAUACGGGCAGACUAGAGUACUGCAGGGGAAACUGGAAUUCCUGGUGUAGCGGUGGAAUGCGCAGAUAUCAGGAGGAACACCGGUGGCGAAGGCGGGUCUCUGGGCAGUAACUGACGCUGAGGAGCGAAAGCGUGGGGAGCGAACAGG
rnacentral:rRNA from 1 species